AUGUCAGAUUGUUAUCCUAAUAUCUCCAUUGCCUAUCGCAUCUUAUUUACUGUGGCUGUGAUAGUCGCAUCGGCCGAAAGACACUUUUUGAAGUUGAAAUUAUUGACGAAUUAUUUGAGGUCGACAUUGACUCAAGAUGGGUUAAAUGGUUUGGCUACAUUAUGCAUCGAGAAGAAUUUAUUGGAUGAGAUUCAGAUUGACCCCGUCAUAAGUGACUUUGAAUCAAGGAAUGUUAGAAGAAACUUUUAA
rnacentral:rRNA from 1 species